CCGCUCCCUUCCCCGCCGCCCAACCCCUCCCUUGAUGAGGUCCUCAACUAUCCCCCACCCCGGAAGGCUCCGGGCGCGGCUCUGGGCUAGGCGCAGCUCUCCCAACGCCACCCGACACCCACCCGCUCCCCCCGCUUCCAGGGACGCCGGGGUGUUGCCCUGCAGCGCGCAACAAACACUUCCGGAAAAGGUCAGAAACCACUAUUAGAACUUUUUCUUACAACUCAACAGCCAAAACAAGAGAAAAAAACCAAAUAACCGGAUUUUUAAAAUGGGCAAACUGCCUUAAAAGACAUUUCUCAAAAGAAGAUAUACAAAUGGCCAACAGCGCCUGGCAGUGUGCCUGGCAUACAGUGGGUGCUCCUUCCAUGCUGAAAGAAAGACUGACAGACGGGAGGUGUGCCCCUCUCCAUCCGUCUGGCCCUUCCCGCCAGGGCCUUGCAGGGCGGACUCCACCUCGGCAGAGGGCAUCCCA
rnacentral:antisense_RNA from 1 species